rnacentral:rRNA from 1 species
UACGUAGGGUGCAAGCGUUAGUCGGAAUUACUGGGCGUAAAGCGUGCGCAGGCGGUGAUGUAAGACAGGUGUGAAAUCCCCGGGCUCAACCUGGGAACUGCAUUUGUGACUGCAUCGCUGGAGUGCGGCAGAGGGGGAUGGAAUUCCGCGUGUAGCAGUGAAAUGCGUAGAUAUGCGGAGGAACACCGAUGGCGAAGGCAAUCCCCUGGGCCUGCACUGACGCUCAUGCACGAAAGCGUGGGGAGCAAACAGG